UUGCCAUCUCUUAUUUACCAGUAUUCGUUAUCGAGUACCGGUAUUGUAUUGGUCCUUCAUCCCUGGAUAUGAUUUUUUAUAUUUACUUUAUUUGUCUAAGUGCAAACAUUUCCGCAGCCCAAAUCCAACCCGUUGAACGACUUAAUCCAGUAAUCUGAAUAGUUGUACAUUUGUGAACCUUCUGUCUGAUGAAUUUCAACAAAUCUAAAUACAGAUCUCAAUUGGCUGAAAUCUAAAAUAUGUUUUAACAAUUGCCACAAUCAAACUGAAACUAAAAUUUGAUGUUUUUGGGUAAAAAAUAGCUCAAGGAUUAUUGUUUUCCCUUUUUGUUUUUGUAACACUUUAAAUAAAAUUUUGUUUCUAAAGUAUAACUUUUUACGCCACACAUGCGAGAUGCGACAUGGCGCCAGCAGUCUAGGUGCGCAAAAUUUUUGCACGCGGUCCGAGAACUUUGCCCAACCCUGCUCUAGUUCAUAUUUUCAGCUUUGUUGAGAAAUAAAUUACUGAUUUUUGAAUAAUAUCUAUUUUGUUUUAAAAUUCAAUAGAAUUAUAUUGGGUAUAUAUUAAUAUGAUUUAUUUUCAGUAUGUAUGCUAUGUAAGCUUACCCAACCAACCUUAAUUAAGUGUUAUUAUAUUUUAAAGUGAAUUGGAAAGUAGACCGCUAGCAAAAAAGAUUCGGGCGAUUGGGGGAAGCCCAUCUCUGUACAAUGACUGCCAAAUGUGCAUGCAACUGUGCAAUGCCCAGCGACUCUAAAAGCAUGAAGUAUUGUACGACACAUCCUUUACAAAUAUUUGGACAUAUUUUGUGUAAUAUCCAUUUUUUUCCGGUUAUUCUAAAUAAUUAUUACCGAUUAGAUAUUCUGUCAAGUGUCAAUAUUACCAUUGUAAGUUUAAUGAUAUAUACCAUUUUUAUAAUAGGCCCUAUGACAAUGGACUGGAAAAUUCACCUGCUUCAAUUCCCUCUUUCACGCAAUCAUACACUGUGUCAUUUCAAGCAUCUCAAUGUUUCAAUGCGGACAAUGCCCAAAACAGAGAUCAAGCCAUGCUCCAAUCCAGUCCAUG